GUGUGUGUGUGUGUAUAUAAUGCAGUGUGUUUGUGUAGUGUGUUUAUAUAAUGCACACUACACAAACACACUGCAUUAUAUACACACUA